rnacentral:rRNA from 1 species
GUUCGGUCCCUAUCUGCCGUGGGCGCUGGAGAAUUGAGGGGGGCUGCUCCUAGUACGAGAGGACCGGAGUGGACGCAUCACUGGUGUUCGGGUUGUCAUGCCAAUGGCACUGCCCGGUAGCUAAAUGCGGAAGAGAUAAGUGCUGAAAGCAUCUAAGCACGAAACUUGCCCCGAGAUGAGUUCUCCCUGACUCCUUGAGAGUCCUGAAGGAACGUUGAAGACGACGACGUUGAUAGGCCGGGUGUGUAAGCGCAGCGAUGCGUUGAGCUAACCGGUACUAAUGAACCGUGAGGCUUAACCUU